rnacentral:rRNA from 1 species
AUUGAACGCUGGCGGUAUGCUUAACACAUGCAAGUCGGACGGAAACGACAGGGAGCUUGCUCCUUGGGCGUCGAGUGGCGGAUGGGUGAGUAAUAUAUAGGAAUCUACCUCAUAGUUUGGGAUAACUACUCGAAAGAGUGGCUAAUACCGGAUGUGGACUACGGUUUAAAGCAGGGGACCUUCGGGCCUUGCGCUACGAGAUGAGCCUAUACAAGAUUAGCUAGUUGGUGAGAUAAAAAGCUCACCAAGGCGACGAUCUUUAGCUGGUUUGAGAGGAUGACCAGCCACACUGGGACUGAGACACGGCCCAGACUCCUACGGGAGGCAGCAGUGGGGAAUAUUGGGGCAAGUGGGCGCAAGCCUGACCCAGCAACGCCACGUGAAGGAAGAAUGUUUCGGAUUGUAAACUUCUGUCCUCAGGAUAGAAAAAAUGACAGUACCUGAGGAGGAA